AGAAAUAGUAGUAUUAGUAAUCGUAGGUGGUUACGCAAAAAGGAGGCUGCCGGUGAAGGACGAAAUAUAAGUAUGAGGUGAUGACACCAUUUACAUAUCAAUAUUUGUAUAUAUACGCAUUUAUUUUAGGAUCAAUAUUCAAUUUUGUUUUUAUAUUCUCGUAUAAUUGUAAAGAACAGCAAGCAACUCCCCCUUUUGAUUUCCCUCUCAAGAAUUCACUUACAAAGUUGAGUACAAGGUUCGAUCCAUCUUG
rnacentral:lncRNA from 1 species